UUUUGAAAUACAGUUAUUCUGCAGAAUAUUUAGUUCUCUCAAUUGUUGUUUAUUCAGCUCUUUUUGCAAGUGUUUGGGAAAAACUUGUGAAUUAUGCUGAGUUUGACAGAUUCGUGAUAAUAGUCCUGUUUUUAAUCAUGUUUAUGUGCUGCAUUUGCAAAAUCAUUUAUCGUAAGUAUUUCUGUGUGAUUCAUUCCCAUCAGUCGUCAGGUACUUGAUUGCUCCUGAUAAUAAUAAUAAUAAUAAUAAUAAUAAUAAUAAUAAUAUAUAUGUGUUAAAACUCUCUCAGUCACAUGCAGAUUCACUCAGUUUAUAUGCUUUUGUUGUUGAUUUUAUUGUUUAGUGUUCUGAAACUGGAUCAGAUCAGAUCUUAAUUGUUUCUUCAUUUAGUUGCAGUUACAGAGGUCGGAAAGAGAAGUGGACAGAUAAUUGAAAUAUUUGACUUAGUGGCUGAUACGAUCUUUGAUAUUCUGCCUGCUUUACAAUUCAUCCUCCUCUUCUUCACUUUUGCAUCUGUCAGAGGAGGAUUCAUCAUUGUUGUCAUUUUACCAGUGUUACUGAUGAUGACAAAUGACAGAUGUUUUUUCAGAUGGUUUGAUAGACUCAGGUAUGCUGCUGGAUGGGGCUGUGUGAUUGCGUUUCUGCAGAUACUCUGGAUGGUUAUGAAGUUUACAGGCUAUUAUGGCUUUAUUGCUCAGGGUACAGUAUUGAUCAUCUACUUUGAUCAGCUCUCCUGUCUGAUUUUUCUGCAUCAGUGAGAACAUGUAAAGAUUUGAGCAGUUUAUGAUCGUUGUUUCAAUAUUAAAUAAUAGAUUUUUAAAUAUUUUUGUGUCUCUCAAGGUAAACUGAUGCAGUUGUUUUUAUGUUAAAUGUCUAAAAUUGCAUUGCAGAUUUUCCUCGUGUUGUUCCUGUCUAUGUGUUUGGAUCAGUUGGUGUUGUGUUACUGAACUCUGUUGCUCUGAUGACUGAACUGAUACUGAAAACAGGUGAGUGAACAUCAUACACUUUAUUAUACAAUAUGUGAUAUAGUUUGAGAGAAAUAUUCCAUAAUUCAGAAAAUGCAUAGCAAAUAUAUGCUUUAAACACAUAUUAAUCGAAUAUGAAUUAAUUUAAACUGUAUUUACCUGUAGUAAUUGUACUGUUAACAAUGCAUUCGUUUCUGGAUAACAGUGAUGAUUUUAUAUAUAUAUAUAAUCAUCAUAUAUAUAUAUUUUAUUAUUAAUGUAUCCACAUUUAUUUUUGGUCAGUUAAUGGUGCUCGUACAGUGGGAGAUCUGAGGUCUGUUGUCUUUCCUUCUGAAUGCUUCUUUGCCUUAUCUGUGGUGAUUGCAGGAAUAUUUCCAUCUGGUGAGUAUAGAUCACAAUUGUUUCUAUUACAUAACAUUGAAUUACAGUUAAAUCACAUAACAUGGUCUUCCUUUAUUUUACAUCUCUGAAUCAUUUGUUUCAAGCUCCAUUCAGUAAAUAAUCAGUCCUUUAGUUUCUGCUAGAGCUGCUGUUAAAGUGUCUAAAGUCUGAUUUAAUCACUUAUUUAACACACAGAUUGUGCUGUGUGUCUCUGCUUGGGGGUUGAUUUGUCACAACCCUUAAAAAAAACCUAGAACCUUUUAAUGCUGAAAUCCUAAAAUAAUCUGAUGAGUGUUAAUGAGAACUGCUCACAGUGAACAUGAACAAAUCUAUAUAUUAUUGACACCCUGCUUCACUAUAUCAGGGAUCUUUUGAUGUCAGCAAUUAAAUUCAAAGUUUUCAAUCUGAAAUGGCUUGAAAUUUUUAACAGUGUGUCGCACUUGAAAAGAAAACAUUAAAAAUAAUUACUAAUAAACCAUUCAAAAAAGGUCCA
ensembl:lncRNA